GAUUAUGGCUCAGGAUGAACGCUAGCUACAGGCUUAACACAUGCAAGUCGAGGGGCAGCAUUGGAGUAGCAAUACUCAGAUGGCGACCGGCGCACGGGUGAGUAACACGUAUCCAACCUGCCGCUUACUCGGGGAUAGCCUUUCGAAAGAAAGAUUAAUACCCGAUGGUAUAAAGAGUUCGCAUGUUCUCUUUAUUAAAGAAUUUCGGUAAGCGAUGGGGAUGCGUUCCAUUAGAUAGUUGGCGGGUAACGGCCCACCAAGUCUACGAUGGAUAGGGGUUCUGAGAGGAAGGUCCCCCACAUUGGAACUGAGACACGGUCCAAACUCCUACGGGAGGCAGCAGUGAGGAAUAUUGGUCAAUGGACGAGAGUCUGAACCAGCCAAAAGUAGCGUGAAGGAUGACUGCCCUAUGGGUUGUAAACUUCUUUUAUAAGGGAAUAAAGUGAGGGACGUGUCCCUUUUUGUAUGUACCUUAUGAAUAAGGAUCGGCUAACUCCGUGCCAGCCGCCGC
rnacentral:rRNA from 1 species